rnacentral:rRNA from 1 species
ACCUGAAACCGUGUACGUACAAGCAGUGGGAGCCUCUUAAUGGGGUGACUGCGUACCUUUUGUAUAAUGGGUCAGCGACUUAUAUUCUGUAGCAAGGUUAACCGAAUAGGGGAGCCGAAGGGAAACCGAGUCUUAACUGGGCGUUAAGUUGCAGGGUAUAGACCCGAAACCCGGUGAUCUAGCCAUGGGCAGGUUGAAGGUUGGGUAACACUAACUGGAGGACCGAACCGACUAAUGUUGAAAAAUUAGCGGAUGACUUGUGGCUGGGGGUGAAAGGCCAAUCAAACCGGGAGAUAGCUGGUUCUCCCCGAAAGCUAUUUAGGUAGCGCCUCGUGAAUUCAUCUCCGGGGGUAGAGCACUGUUUCGGCAAGGGGGUCAUCCCGACU